rnacentral:rRNA from 1 species
UGGGGAAUAUUGCGCAAUGGACGAAAGUCUGACGCAGCGACGCCGCGUGUAGGAUGACGCCUUUCGGGGUGUAAACUACUGUUGCCCGGGACGAAACUCCUUUUUCGAGAGGACUGACGGUACCGGGUGAGGAAGCACCGGCUAACUCUGUGCCAGCAGCCGCGGUAAUACAGAGGGUGCGAGCGUUGUCCGGAAUCACUGGGCGUAAAGGGUGCGUAGGUGGCUUGGUAAGCGUGUGGUGAAAGUCCGGGGCUCAACCCCGGAUCUGCCGUGCGAACUGCCGAGCUCGAGCAUUGUAGAGGCAGGUGGAAUUUCGGGUGUAGCGGUGGAAUGCGUAGAGAUCCGAAAGAACACCAGUGGCGAAGGCGGCCUGCUGGGCAAUUGCUGACACUGAGGCACGACAGCGUGGGGAGCAAACAGG